rnacentral:tRNA from 1 species
GGAGCACUAGCUCAGUCGGUAGAGCACCUGACUUUUAAUCAGGUUGUCGGGGGUUCGAAUCCCCCAUGCUUCA